rnacentral:rRNA from 1 species
UGGGGGAAUUUUGGACAAUGGGCGAAAGCCUGAUCCAGCAAUGCCGCGUGUGUGAAGAAGGCCUUCGGGUUGUAAAGCACUUUUGUCCGGAAAGAAAUCCUUGGCUCUAAUACAGUCGGGGGAUGACGGUACCGGAAGAAUAAGCACCGGCUAACUACGUGCCAGCAGCCGCGGUAAUACGUAGGGUGCAAGCGUUAAUCGGAAUUACUGGGCGUAAAGCGUGCGCAGGCGGUUUGCUAAGACCGAUGUGAAAUCCCCGGGCUCAACCUGGGAACUGCAUUGGUGACUGGCAGGCUAGAGUAUGGCAGAGGGGGGUAGAAUUCCACGUGUAGCAGUGAAAUGCGUAGAGAUGUGGAGGAAUACCGAUGGCGAAGGCAGCCCCCUGGGGCCAAAUACUGACGCUCAUGCACGAAAGCGUGGGGAGCAAACAGGAUUAGAUACCCUGGUAGUCCACGCCCUAAACGAUGUCAACUAGUUGUGGGGAUUCAUUUCCUUAGUAACGUAGCUAACGCGUGAAGUUGACCGCCUGGGGAGUACGUCGCAAGAUUAAAACUCAAAUGAAUUGACGGGG